GGGAGGACCAGAUCACUGACAGAUUAAAGUUACCAAGUUCAAGCGACAAGCUUGAAUCCUUCUGCAGUCACACAUUUAGCCCAGCAGAGGCGAGAGGUUGAAAUUUUUCAAAACUGAAAUAGAACCACAAAGAAAGUAUCAGAACACAUUGCACUUAGUAAAGCGCCAUACUUUGAGAAGUGAGGCUGAAAAGGAUGGGUAUGGACUUGGAUCCGGAGGUCUGGAGGAGAAAUUGGAUUCAACGGGCUUGAGGGGCC